UAGCCUAGUGGUGAAAGCUAUGGAUCGCCAAUCCGGAGACGGCGGGUUCGAUUCCCGU
rnacentral:tRNA from 1 species